UCGGCAGGUCGGGUAGUCCUUACCUGUGCCUCUAUUCGGAGGGUGGCUAGAGCACGGUUGGAGCUCGCAGCAUUGGGGAUGCACGGCUCGGCGUGAUCAGGGCUCGCAGCACCCUGAUCGCUCCUGUCUGAG